AGGGAGAGGGAGAGGGACUCCUGCGGAAACAGGGACAGCAACAGGGACAGGGACCCCGGUAGGGACAGGUACAGGGAGAGGGACCUGCAUAGGGACCCCUGUGGGGCCAGGAAAAGGGACCCCCGUGGAGACAGGGACAGGGACCCCCGCGAGGACAGGGAGCUGCUCAGGGAUAGGGACCCCUGCGGGGACAGGGACAAGGACCCCCGCGGGCACGGGGACUCGCUCAGGGACAGGGAUGGGAAUGGGGGUGGAGAUGGGGAUAGGGACCCCCGUGGGCAUGGGGACCUGCUCAGCGAUAGGGACAGGGAUGGAGACUCCCGCAGGGAGGGGGACUCACUCAGGGACAGGGAGCUC
rnacentral:lncRNA from 1 species